AAACCUAAUGGUUCAAAUAGGCAUAAAGAGUAAAAGGGAUGGUGAAAAAUGGCAUAUAAGCUUACGUCACAAGCAGAGAUGGUGAGAUAGCAAUUAUAAGGUCUGUGAUCAAGGGUUAGAUGAACAUUUUCAGUAUGGACAAUAGGGUCCUUUCAUAAGGAAACGUGAAUGAAAAUAAGUGACAGAAUAACAAUAAGAGAUAAAGCGGGAAGAUAUAUGUAUGAGUGACAGUCAAAAGUCACUGAGAAAUACAAGGAUAAGAGUUAUGACAGUAAGCAUGAUUGGAAUCCAUUUUGGAAGAGUUUAUUAGUGAGAGAUAUCUUCUUGAAUACAGUAAAAUAUAGGGAUGCAAAAGA
rnacentral:misc_RNA from 1 species